rnacentral:rRNA from 1 species
UGAACGCUGGCGGCGUGCUUACCACAUGCAAGUCGAACGAAACACCUUAUUUGAUUUUCUUCGGAACUGAAGAUUUGGUGAUUGAGUGGCGGACGGGUGAGUAACGCGUGGGUAACCUGCCCUGUACAGGGGGAUAACAGUCAGAAAUGACUGCUAAUACCGCAUAAGACCACAGCACCGCAUGGUGCAGGGGUAAAAACUCCGGUGGUACAGGAUGGACCCGCGUCUGAUUAGCUGGUUGGUGAGGUAACGGCUCACCAAGGCGACGAUCAGUAGCCGGCUUGAGAGAGUGAACGGCCACAUUGGGACUGAGACACGGCCCAAACUCCUACGGGAGGCAGCAGUGGGGAAUAUUGCACAAUGGGGGAAACCCUGAUGCAGCGACGCCGCGUGAGUGAAGAAGUAUUUCGGUAUGUAAAGCUCUAUCAGCAGGGAAGAAAAUGACGGUACCUGACUAAGAAGCCCCGGCUAACUACGUG